GCCGGUAAGGGUGAAAGGGUGCGGUAAGAGCGCACCGCGUGGGUGGCAACAUUCCACGGCACGGUAAACCCCACUCGGAGCAAGACCAAAUAGGGACCCAUCAGGCGUGGCCCGCGCUGGGUCCGGGUAGGUUGCUAAAGAUGUCCGGUGACGGCCAUCGUAGAUGAAUGACUGUUCAACGACAGAACCCGGCUUACAGGCGAACUCCUCCU
rnacentral:RNase_P_RNA from 1 species